AGUGAUGAGAUGAUUGAGAAAGUCAUGCACCACUCUGAUUUUUUCUGUGCUGAUAAGUUUCUCAUACCCAUUACACAUCUGAGCCU
rnacentral:snoRNA from 9 species